rnacentral:lncRNA from 1 species
GCUUCUCUUCUCGCAGGGAUGGAUUAGAAAUAACCACCAGUAGUGACUCCAGAGGAGCUGGCCGUCUGCAGAGGCUGGAAUGUCUUGACUACAGCUGCUGACCUGUUGCUGUACACUGCCGGUCCCCCGUGAUGUCAGCCCCAGGUGGUCUUGCUUCUUCUCCAGCUCCUGAAGAAGGUGUCAGUCUCUGAGCAGCCUGAGGAGACCAAACCCCAGGGAUGUUAACUUCCUUGUAUAAAACGAUGGAUCCACAAUGAGCCAUGUAAUUUCCCUCGUGCAUUUUCUGAGCCAGUGGUGGAUCAGAGAGCUAGAAGAGGCUUCAGAAGAUGCAUGAGUGGCGUCUCUUUCUUCCAACAGGGCUGCCUCUCUUAGCAAGGGGCAACUUCAGAUGGAAGGCUGCCUCCUGGCUGAAAGUGGGGAAAAGAGAAAUAAUCCGAAUACUUGGAAUUCCAAAAGUUGUGCUGUGCCAGGGAAACACAUACGAUAGAGCGUGCUGAAGUCAGUUCUCACCUUCCACCACGUGGGGUCCUGGGGACCAAACUCAGGUCAUCAGGCGUGGUGGUAAGCGUCUUCACCUGAUGACCCAUCUUGCUGGCCCCCAAGAAACGGGUUAAAACAAUACUGUUUCCUAGCACUCGAAGAGACUUUAUUGUUGAUUUUAUGGUUCCUGGCAGUCAUCCAGGUUGGGUUUCCCUCCCUUCAUUAAACCCCUCUCACACACACAAUGGUGUGUCUCCUAGGUGAUUCUAAAUUCUGUCAAGUUGGCAGGAUCAACCUUUGCGCCAUCUCUCCCUGUCACUCAUUUGCUGAGCACAAGCCUGCUUUGACUUUACCGUGGAUCCAAAUUUCCAAGCAAGAAGAGGAAGAGAACUUUAUAAGAAUGGUGAUGGAUUCUCAUGACUCAACAGGAGGCUGAACUGAGGGGUUUGGAUCCAUGUCUGUUUUCUUUCUGCCUUCAAAUGCUAGCAGCUAACAUACUGGCUUCCCUUCCUGCUGGGACACAGCCCCUGAAGUACCUUGCUGUGUUCAGAGCUUGGGCGUCUGGCUUCAAGAAACUGUCUACUGGUUAAAAGACCUAUAGCCAAAUGACUCUGGGCUAUGCUGUCACUGUCUCCCCUCUGGCAGUCUCAGGGCUCCUUGAUGAGGGGAGGAGCCAGAACCCCAUGCUGUUUUCCUUCCCUGGGGACACACUGAGCUCUGCCUCACUGAGCUCUGCCUCCUGCUCCAUCCAGGAAUUCUGAGACCCCAGCACAGCACUCUUGACCUUUUCAGGAGCCCUCCCUCACCCCUUGUGAUCACUGUCCUGUGAGCCUGGGGGUGCAUGAGCAAACACAGUGCUGUGUAGCUCUCUGAAGAGGGCAGGUUCAGGAGAUGGCAACCCCCAUAGGGUGACUACAUUGUUUCCAUUGCAUCCUGAGCAACAUGGUUGCAUAAUUAUUUUGGCAAAUUAUUUUGGGAAAACCGGUAUAUCCAGAGGCUCUCCUCCAUGUACAGAGCUGACACACUACAGAUAGAUUAUGGU